UACGUAGGGUGCAAGCGUUAAUCGGAAUUACUGGGCGUAAAGCGUGCGCAGGCGGUCUGUUAAGACCGAUGUGAAAUCCCCGGGCUUAACCUGGGAACUGCAUUUGUGACUGGCAAGCUAGAGUAUGGCAGAGGGGGGUAGAAUUCCGCGUGUAGCAGUGAAAUGCGUAGAGAUGCGGAGGAACACCGAUGGCGAAGGCAGCCCCCUGGGCUAACACUGACGCUCAGGCACGAAAGCGUGGGGAGCAAACAGG
rnacentral:rRNA from 1 species